rnacentral:rRNA from 1 species
UACGAGGGGGGCAAAUGUUGUUCGGAAUUACUGGGCGUAAAGCGUGCGCAGGCGGUUCGUUGUGUCGGCGGUGAAAGCCCCGGGCUUAACCUGGGAAUGGCCGUUGAAACUGGCGAACUGGAGUGUGGCAGAGGGGGGUGGAAUUCCGCGUGUAGCAGUGAAAUGCGUAGAGAUGCGGAGGAACACCGAUGGCGAAGGCAGCCCCCUGGGCUGACACUGACGCUCAGGCACGAAAGCGUGGGGAGCAAACAGG